AUUGAACGCUGGCGGCAUGCUUUACACAUGCAAGUCGAACGGUAACAGGCCUUCGGGUGCUGACGAGUGGCGCACGGGUGAGUAAUGCAUCGGAACGUACCCAGAGGUGGGGGAUAACGCAGCGAAAGCUGUUCUAAUACCGCAUGUGAUCUGAGGAUGAAAGCGGGGGACCGAGCAGCAAUGUUUGGCCUCGCGCCUUUGGAUCGGCCGAUGUCGGAUUAGCUAGUUGGUGGGGUAAAGGCCUACCAAGGCGACGAUCCGUAGCUGGUCUGAGAGGACGACCAGCCACACUGGGACUGAGACACGGCCCAGACUCAUACGGGAGGCAGCAAUGGGGAAUUUUGGACAAUGGGAGCAAGCCUGAUCCAGAAAUGCCGCGUGCGGGAAGAAGGCAUUCGGGUUGUAAACCGCUUUUGGCAGGAACGAAACGUUGUCCGCUAAUACCGGGCGCUAAUGACGGUACCUGCAGAAUAAGCACCGGCUAACUACGUG
rnacentral:rRNA from 1 species